GCAGCAGUGGGGAUAUUGCACAAUGGGCGCAAGCCUGAUGCAGCCAUGCCGCGUGUGUGAAGAAGGCUUUCGGGUUGUAAAGCACUUUCAGCGAGGAGGAAAGGUUGUACUUUAAUAGAGUGCAGCUGUGACGUUACUCGCAGAAGAAGCACCGGCUAACUCCGUGCCAGCAGCCGCGGUAAUACGGAGGGUGCGAGCGUUAAUCGGAAUUACUGGGCGUAAAGCGCGCGUAGGCGGUUAAUUAAGUCAGAUGUGAAAUCCCAGGGCUCAACCUUGGAACUGCAUUUGAAACUGGUUAACUAGAGUUUUGUAGAGGGUGGUAGAAUUUCAGGUGUAGCGGUGAAAUGCGUAGAGAUCUGAAGGAAUACCAGUGGCGAAGGCGGCCACCUGGACAAAGACUGACGCUGAGGCGCGAAGGCGUGGGGAGCAAACGGGAUUAGAUACCCCGGUAGUCCACGCAGUAAACGAUGUCUAUUAGAAUUUUGUGGCUAUAUGCCGUGGGAUUCAAAGCUAACGCAUUAAAUAGACCGCCUGGGGAGUACGGCCGCAAGGUUAAAACUCAAAUGAAUUGACGGGGCCCCC
rnacentral:rRNA from 1 species